UACGUAGGGGGCAAGCGUUGUCCGGAAUCAUUGGGCGUCAAGCGCGUGUAGGCGGCCCGAUAAGUCCGCUGUGAAAGUCCAGGGCUCAACCCUGGAAUGCCGGUGGAUACUGUCGGGCUAGAGUCCGGAAGAGGCGAGUGGAAUUCCUGGUGUAGCGGUGAAAUGCGCAGAUAUCAGGAGGAACACCAAUGGCGAAGGCAGCUCGCUGGGACGUGACUGACGCUGAGACGCGAAAGCGUGGGGAGCAAACAGG
rnacentral:rRNA from 1 species